rnacentral:rRNA from 1 species
CCUACGGGUGGCAGCAGUGGGGAAUAUUGCACAAUGGGGGGAACCCUGAUGCAGCGACGCCGCGUGAGUGAAGAAGUAUUUCGGUAUGUAAAGCCCUUUCAGCAGGGAAGAAGAAAGAGGGUACCUGACCAAGAAGCCCCGGCUAACUACGUGCCAGCAGCCGCGGUAAUACGGAGGGGGCAAGCGUUAUCCGGAUUUACUGGGUGUAAAGGGAGCGGAGACGGUGGACCAGGUCUGGAGUAAAAUGCCGCAGCUUAACUUCAGAACUGCUUUGGAAACUGGCGAACUAGAGUGCGGGAGGGGUAAGCGGAAUUCCUAGUGUAGCGGUGAAAUGCGUAGAUAUUAGGAGGAACACCGGUGGCGAAGGCGACUUACUGGACCGUAACUGACGUUGAGGCUCGAAAGCGUGGGGAACAAACAGGAUUAGAUACCCGGGUAGUC